UAUGGCGACCGGCGCACGGGUGAGUAACACGUAUCCAACCUGCCUCAUACUCGGGGAUAGCCUUUCGAAAGAAAGAUUAAUACCCGAUGUCAUAGUCCUACCGCAUGAUGGGAUUAUUAAAGAAUUUCGGUAUGGGAUGGGGAUGCGUUCCAUUAGUUAGUUGGCAGGGUAACGGCCCACCAAGACAACGAUGGAUAGGGGUUCUGAGAGGAAGGUCCCCCACAUUGGAACUGAGACACGGCCCAGACUCCUACGGGAGGCAGCAG
rnacentral:rRNA from 1 species